AAGUCGUAACAAGGUUUCCGUAGGUGAACCUGCGGAAGGAUCAUUACCGAGAUAGGGUCCCUCUGGGGCCCGACCUCCAACCCUUUGUCUACAUAACCUCUGUUGCCUCGGCGGGUCGUCGGGGUCCCGCGUCGAAACGGGCCCCCGCCAUCGGCUCUCACAAGGAGCCCUUGCGCGCCCGCCGAUGGGAAACAUCAAACCCAAUAUUAAAUCAGCCUUCUGAGUAUAUUAUUAUAAUACUUCAAAA
rnacentral:misc_RNA from 1 species